GACGAACGCUGGCGGCGCGCUUAACACAUGCAAGUCGAACGGAAAGGCCUGCUUUCCCUUGUGGAUUGCGGGUACUCGAGUGGCGAACGGGUGAGUAACACGUGAGUGAUCUGCCCCCAACUUGGGUAUAAGCCUGGGAAACUGGGUCUAAUUUCCGAUAGGACUGCAGGGUGGUGCCUGUGGUGGAAAACGAUUUUCUAGUGGUUGGGGAUGAGCUCGCGGCCUAUCAGCUUGUUGGUGGGGUAAUGGCCUACCAAGGCGGCGACGGGUAGCCGGCCUGAGAGGGUGGACGGCCACAUUGGGACUGAGAUACGGCCCAGACUCCUACGGGAGGCAGCAGUGGGGAAUAUUGCACAAUGGGCGGAAGCCUGAUGCAGCGACGCCGCGUGGGGGAUGACGGCCUUCGGGUUGUAAACUCCUUUCGACCGCGAGGAAGCCACCUGGUUGGAAGGGUGGUGACGGUAGUGGUAGAAGAAGCACCGGCUAACUACGUG
rnacentral:rRNA from 1 species